AAUCAACGCUGGCGGCGUGCCUAACACAUGCAAGUCGAACGCGAAAGGGGCUUCGGUCCUGAGUAGAGUGGCGAACGGGUGAGUAACACGUGGGUGAUCUGCCUUCGAGUGGGGGAUAACGUUCCGAAAGGAGCGCUAAUACCGCAUGACGUUCCGGGUUUAAAGACCUGGAAACCAAAGCCGGGGACCACAAGGCCUGGCGCUUGAAGAGGAGCCCGCGUCCGAUUAGCUAGUUGGCGGGGUAAUGGCCCACCAAGGCGACGAUCGGUAGCCGGCCUGAGAGGGCGGACGGCCACACUGGAACUGAGACACGGUCCAGACUCCUACGGGAGGCAGCAGUGGGGAAUUGUUCACAAUGGGCGCAAGCCUGAUGACGCAACGCCGCGUGGGGGAUGAAGGUCUUCGGAUUGUAAACCCCUGUCGAACGGGACGAAAGGCCUCUGGGCUAAUCACCAGAGGAGUGACGGUACCGUUAAAGGAAGCCACGGCUAACUCUGUGCCAGCAGCCGCGGUAAUACAGAGGUGGCAAGCGUUGUUCGGAAUUACUGGGCGUAAAGGGCGCGUAGGCGGCCAUCUAAGUCAGACGUGAAAUCCCCCGGCUUAACCUGGGAACUGCGUCUGAUACUGGAAGGCUCGAGUUUGGGAGAGGGAUGUGGAAUUCCAGGUGUAGCGGUGAAAUGCGUAGAUAUCUGGAGGAACACCGGUGGCGAAGGCGGCAUCCUGGACCAACACUGACGCUGAGGCGCGAAAGCUAGGGGAGCAAACGGGAU
rnacentral:rRNA from 1 species